CUUAGUGACUACCGUCUGCUAACUCAGCUAAUACAGUCCAUCACGGAGCUCGACAGCUCUACCUGAGCGUUUUAGACAUUUUGUCAUGCAGAUACCAGAUGACUAAAGACGUGCAAUUUAUCAGAGAGAAAGAGAACCUCCACAGGCCUGUGCUGCAGUUGUAGCCAGAUGAGCGGAUGGCAGCAUCAUUCCAGAUGAGAAGCACCAGCUCUGCAGAAGUCCUAGCUUCCAGUGUGGCCCUGCCAGAUCCUGUAGCUUACUGCCUUGUUCAGCCUUUUGUAUUUGUUUCACUUUAACACCUGGACUCUGGAUUAUGACUCUGGGUUCCUAAUCAUAGGUUCUGUCAUUAUAUUUACUGUUGAAACACAUUACUACAAGUCAUACAAAAUAACUUUUACAUUUGUAACCUUUCAAUAUUUAUGUUUCCAUGAAUGCAAGAUAUGAUUUUAAUUGGUUAAACUGUUGCUUUUGUAUUAGAAAUCAUUUUUGUUGUAUAAAAUGUAUCAGACUAAAUUUGCUUAAAAUAAAACCACAUUGAUCAUCA